rnacentral:rRNA from 1 species
CAAUAGCGUAUAUUAAAGUUGUUGCAGUUAAAAAGCUCGUAGUUGGAUUUCUGGUUGAAGCGACCGGUCGGGCGUUGAUUCGUCUGCACUGGAGUCGGUUUUGGCCAUCCUCUAGGAAAGUGCGUCUGGUAUUAAGUUAUCGGGCGUAUGAUCCUGGUCUUUUACUGUGAAAAAAUUAGAGUGUUUAAAGCAGGCCUUCGCCUUGAAUACAUUAGCAUGGAAUAAUAUGAUAGGACUUUGGUCUAUUUUGUUGGUUUGCAGACCGAAGUAAUGAUUAAUAGGGAUAGUUGGGGGUAUUUAUAUUCCGAUGUCAGAGGUGAAAUUCUUAGAUUUUCGGAAGAUAAACUUAUGCGAAAGCAUUUACCAAGGAUGUUUUCAUUAA